CUAAUAAUGGAGCAAAGUUGACUGCACAAUUUUUCUGUUGCUUCAGUUUUGUCUGGUAAAUAAAAUGCCUGGAAGGACAAAACAAAAAUGUCUAAUGGAAUAUAAUUCAAGAUAAGUAGGAGAAAACCUGAAAACAUCCAGCUGCCUUUGAUGAGUUUAGGUCACUAGGUCCAGAUGAACCACAUCUUCAAGUAUUAAAAGACCUUGAAAAAGUGAUUGCUGAACCACUUUCAGGGAUCUUUGAAGGGCCUCAGAGAAUAAGAGAGGCUUACGAAAUUCUUCACUCAAAGCAUCACUGUCAGAUUGGUCUUGUGGAAAAGAAGCUGCCCUUGUUAGCAAACCAAGUUCAAGAGUUUUGGAACUCAUCCUUGCUGAGAGAGAAAUCAAGUAAAGUCAAGAGGCAUUUAUUAAGCACCAGUGAGCUACCUUUUAUGACAACAACUUUGAAAAAAAAGAGAAAAAAAUUAAUUGAGAAAAACCUGACAUCAUAUAUAAUGUUUGACACCUGUGGAUGUCUACCACAUUGUGUCCCCAACAGUCACAGAAAAAGCAGAGUCAAGACAAUGUAUGUAUACUCUGGGAGCCUGAAAUAAAUGAAAAAGCUGACUUCAAGAGUGGGCCUGCUUGUUUGACACCUCUGAGCAUCAGUGAAGUACAAAUUGGAGGACAAAUUAAGGCCAGAUGUCUUUUCAUAUGA
rnacentral:lncRNA from 1 species